AGCAAUUAUACAGCGAAACUGCGAAUGGCUCAUUAUAUAAGUUAUCGUUUAUUUGAUAGUACCUUACUACUUGGAUAACCGUGGUAAUUCUAGAGCUAAUACAUGCUAAAAAUCCCGACUUCGGAAGGGAUGUAUUUAUUAGAUUAAAAACCAAUGCCCUCUGGGCUCUCUGGUGAUUCAUGAUAACUUCUCGAAUCGCAUGGCCUUGCGCCGGCGAUGGUUCAUUCAAAUUUCUUCCCUAUCAACUUUCGAUGUUUGGGUAGUGGCCAAACAUGGUUGCAACGGGUAACGGAGGGUUAGGGCUCGACCCCGGAGAAGGAGCCUGAGAAACGGCUACUACAUCCAAGGAAGGCAGCAGGCGCGCAAAUUACCCAAUCCCGACACGGGGAGGUAGUGACAAUAAAUACUGAUACAGGGCUCUUUUGGGUCUUGUAAUUGGAAUGAGUACAAUUUAAAUCCCUUAACGAGGAACAAUUGGAGGGCAAGUCUGGUGCCAGCAGCCGCGGUAAUUCCAGCUCCAAUAGCGUAUAUUAAAGUUGUUGUGGUUAAAAAGCUCGUAGUUGAACCUUGGGCCUGGCUGGCCGGUCCGCCUCACCGCGUGUACUGGUCCGGCCGGGCCUUUCCCUCUGUGGAACCCCAUGCCCUUCACUGGGUGUGGCGGGGAAACAGGACUUUUACUUUGAAAAAAUUAGAGUGCUCCAGGCAGGCCUAUGCUCGAAUACAUUAGCAUGGAAUAAUGAAAUAGGACGUGCGGUUCUAUUUUGUUGGUUUCUAGGACCGCCGUAAUGAUUAAUAGGGACAGUCGGGGGCAUCAGUAUUCAAUUGUCAGAGGUGAAAUUCUUGGAUUUAUUGAAGACUAACUACUGCGAAAGCAUUUGCCAAGGAUGUUUUCAUUAAUCAGGAACGAAAGUUAGGGGAUCGAAGACGAUCAGAUACCGUCGUAGUCUUAACCAUAAACUAUGCCGACUAGGGAUCGGACGAUGUUAUUUUUUGACUCGUUCGGCACCUUACGAGAAAUCAAAGUGCUU
rnacentral:rRNA from 1 species